UACAGAGGGGGCAAGCGUUGUUCGGAAUUACUGGGCGUAAAGGGCGCGUAGGCGGCCUGCUAAGUCGAACGUGAAAUCCCUGGGCUCAACCCAGGAACUGCGUCCGAUACUGGUUGGCUUGAAUCCGGGAGAGGGACGUGGAAUUCCAGGUGUAGCGGUGAAAUGCGUAGAUAUCUGGAGGAAUACCGGUGGCGAAGGCGGCAUCCUGGACCGGCAUUGACGCUGAAGCGCGAAAGCUAGGGGAGCAAACGGG
rnacentral:rRNA from 1 species